UAGCAAGCCUUCAUCAUGCUUGGGUCUCCUGUGACUUUCUACAUUCCUACAGUGUUUACCAGAAUGGUUUUGAAACAGUUUGAGGUCUUGUUCUGCUCCAUUCACAAGGUAAUAGGAAUGUCAGACAAUG
rnacentral:snoRNA from 1 species